ACGAACGCUGGCGGCGUGCUUAACCCCUGCAAGUCGAACGGAAAGGCCCCUUUGGGGGUACUCGAGUGGCGAACGGGUGAGUAACACGUGAGUAACCUGCCCUUGACUUCGGGAUAACUUCAGGAAACUGGGGCUAAUACCGGAUAGGAAUCCUUGCUGCAUGGUGGGGGUUGGAAAGCUUCGGCGGUUUUGGCUGGACUCGCGGCUUAUCAGCUUGUUGGUGGGGUAGUGGCUUACCAAGGCUUUGACGGGUAGCCGGCCUGAGAGGGCGACCGGCCACAUUGGGACUGAGAUACGGCCCAGACUCCUACGGGAGGCAGCAGUGGGGAAUAUUGCACAAUGGGCGGAAGCCUGAUGCAGCAACGCCGCGUGCGGGAUGACGGCCUUCGGGUUGUAAACCGCUUUCAGCAGGGGCGAAGCUUGUGGUGACGGUACCUGCAGAAGAAGCACCGGCUAACUACGUG
rnacentral:rRNA from 1 species